rnacentral:misc_RNA from 1 species
GAUGAAGAACGCAGCGAAAUGCGAUAAGUAAUGUGAAUUGCAGAAUUCAGUGAAUCAUCGAAUCUUUGAACGCACAUUGCGCCCCCCAGUAUUCUGGCGGGCAUGCCUGUUCGAGCGUCAUUUCAACCAUCAAGCCCUGCUUGUGUUGGGGUCCUGCGGCUGCCCGCAGGCCCUGAAAACCAGUGGCGGGCUCGCUAGUCACACCGAGCGCAGUAGCACAUCUCGCUCAGGGCGUGCGGCGGGCUCCAGCCGUUAAAGCACCCACCUUUCGCAAGGUCGACCUCGGAUCAGGUAGGAAUACCCGCUGAACUUAAGCAUAUCAAUAAGCGGAGGA